GGAUAGAUGAUGACAACAAGUCUCUGAGGAUGGUGGUCGACUAUACAAAUGGCAAUCUGAGGUCC